rnacentral:rRNA from 1 species
UACGAAGGGGGCUAGCGUUGCUCGGAAUCACUGGGCGUAAAGGGUGCGUAGGCGGGUCUUUAAGUCAGGGGUGAAAUCCUGGAGCUCAACUCCAGAACUGCCUUUGAUACUGAAGAUCUUGAGUUCGGGAGAGGUGAGUGGAACUGCGAGUGUAGAGGUGAAAUUCGUAGAUAUUCGCAAGAACACCAAUGGCGAAGGCGGCUCACUGGCCCGGUACUGACGCUGAGGUGCGAAAGCGUGGGGAGCAAACAGG